GUAGUUCGAUACAUUUUGUGCGCAUGCGCGAAUGGUCUCGUUUUACGUAAAUUCGAAAAAUUUAAGUGUGUUGAAUUUUACUUAUUUUUUGCUUGCUUUCCAAGAGAAUCUUCAAUAAUCGGCGUCUUAAUGGAAAAGGUAGAAGGAAACUAUUCGUUGAGACUUUAAAUUUAAGUUUAUCGCGGGAUUUUUAACGACAUUCACCGGUUUCGUAAAGCGGUCGUUUGUUUUGGCGCAAUGCGGAAGUGUCGUCUUGAUGCAGUUUUUUGGCUAAAAAGUUGACGAAUUCUUCGUCUCACAAAGUCUGUCAUUUGUUUUACGUUUGCCAUCAGUUUUAGGCAGUAACUGUUAGCUGUCGAGAGUACCGGAACAGACUGUGAAGUAUUUCUAUAGAUCUAAAUAUGGUUCGUAAAAAAGGACAUUUUGUCUGGCAUUCGGAAUUCCUACACUAGUGAUCCAUGAGGACUUUAUCCAGUUUCCAGAAUGGCAGGAAGGAAGGACUUAUUGAAUUAGACCACUUGACAAGGCAGCUUACAAAAGUCAAAAGCUUGUCAACAUUUUCCGUAAAAUUUCCAAAAUAAAUACUGGAAAAAAAAACAACAUGGAAAUACAUACGACAUCAACACAAAAUAGCACAGCACCAGAAUGAAUGCGGAAGUUGUCAUGAGUGGUGUGGCAUUGUUCCUGUUCAUUUAUGGUUUACAGAUUCCAAAAGUCUGAACCAGAUAUGAGUAGAGUACAGUUUGAGAAAUGUCUUGGUAGAACAGAUACUAAGGAAAUAAUAAAGAGCAGAACAGACCACAUUUCUCCUUCUUAUAACUGGUAAAGUUCGAAGUAAGGGCGAGUACAAUAAUGCAGCCCCAGUGAGAGUUCGUGAUGAGGUGUCAGCUGUAAAUGUGUGGUCGUUAAAUGAUGUGCAGUCAGAUUGACAAGUAUUUGAAGUAACAUUAAUUUAUAAAUUAUCAAUUCUGAGAGAAAUUUUUGCUGAGCUUUGUGCAGGAUACUCUUAAAAAAUACGUGAACCAGAAUUUUAUAUUAUAAGUACAAUGUCAGAUGUACUCCAGACUUCACACAUAUGUUGAUGUUUAUACAUAUGUGGUGAUUAAUUUGUCAAGUGAAGAAAUUUUAUGAAUAAUGUUAGUGGGUGACAGAACAGAAGUACAAAGUCAAUUACAGAGGUCGACAACACUGAGUUUAGGAUGCAGAAAAAAUCCGGUGAUUCAGACGAAACAAUAUACAUAGAAAGAUUAUACUAGUAAAAUGAAAACUUUUAGUGUAUGGAAAAGUUUGGAAGCAGGUUUACCAUUGACAGAAGAGACAGUAUUUACAGACUGGUCUACACUUAUUUUGAUUUGACUUUUACACGGUGAUUCCUCCAGUAAACAGCUAGUGAUCUGAGAGAAUUGUGUUCAUUAUAUCAUACAGGUUUAGAGUGAAUGUAAAAUUAAUGUGUAUUUAAAUAAAUCAAAAUUUUUCAAAAUUGGAUGUUGAAACUUUACAACUGUUUAGUAUUUCAGUAAUCAGUUAGGAUUUUUGAGUGAUUUCAAUAAAGUACAAAUUAAAAAAAAAAAAUCACUAUCAGCCAAGAUGAUGUGCUAUUGUAAAACAUAGAAAGAAAAUUCACAAGUCACAUUAACUUGGUAAAAGGGAUUUUAACAGAAUUAAACUAUAAUUGGUGAAGGAAUCUGCAUGUUGUAUCAAAUAGCUAUAAUGUAUUUUGUAGUUCUUUGGAUGUAUUUUCUAUCUAUGAUUCUAUCUCUUUUCAAACUAAAUUUUAUCUCUUAAAUCUAUUGAAAUUGCCAUCAAAAUAAAAAUUUCUUUUAAAAACAAUAUAUUUAAAAAAUAAAAGGUAUAUUCAACAAGCCAGUACUUUGUUACUAAUCUUAGUCAGUGGAAUUUAUUUUUAGACUUGUCCUAUUUUUUUUUAUUCAGUUUCUGGAUCCCCAUUUCUAGUUACUAUACACAUUUUGGGAUUCCAGCAAUUUUCCACAUCCUCAUUACAAGAUAGUAUUGAUUUUUCAUUGGUCCAUAAAAUAAAACUGUUCUAUUAAUAGAUUUUCAGAAAAUCUGUUUGAGUUAUUUAUACCCAGUAUACAAAUUCAUGUACUUUUAUUUGAUUUGAACAUUACUGUUUAAUAUUAUCCUGAACAAAUUACAGGUUUUCUUUGCUUUAUAUUAGAGAAUUUUGGUAAAUUUCGUUGAUGAAAGGUCCAAGGUACUUUUCUCAAAUAGUCAAUUAAUAGAAAUUUUCAAAUAUAAUAUCUUGUGCAGUGAAUUAAAAAGAAAUUUAUUUAUUUCA